rnacentral:rRNA from 1 species
GAUGAACGCUGGCGGCGUGCUUAACACAUGCAAGUCGAACGAAGCACUUUAUUUGAUUUCCUUCGGGACUGAUUAUUUUGUGACUGAGUGGCGGACGGGUGAGUAACGCGUGGGUAACCUGCCUUGUACAGGGGGCUAACAGUUGGACACGGCUGCUAAUACCGCAUAAGCGCACAGCAUCGCAUGCUGCAGUGUGAAAAACUACGGUGGUAUAAGAUGGACCCGCGUUGGAUUAGCUAGUUGGUGAGGUACAGGCCCACCAAGGCGACGAUCCAUAGCCGACCUGAGAGGGUGACCGGCCACAUUGGGACUGGGACACGGCCGAAACUCUUACGGGAUGCAGCAGUGGGUAAUAUUGCAAAAUGGGGUAAAGCCUGAUGCAGCGACGACGCGUGAGCGAAGAAGUUUUGCGGUAUGUAAAGCGCUAUCAGCAGGGAAGAUAAUGACGGUACCUGACUAAGAAGCACCGGCUAAAUACGUG